rnacentral:misc_RNA from 1 species
GAUGAAGACGUAGCGAAAUGCGAUAAGUAAUGUGAAUUGCAGAAUUCAGUGAAUCAUCGAAUCUUUGAACGCACAUUGCGCCCCUUGGUAUUCCGAGGGGCAUGCCUGUUCGAGCGUCAUUAUAACCCCUCAAGCUCAGCUUGGUGUUGGGGCCUGCUGCACUGGCAGCCCUUAAAAUCAGUGGCGGCGCCAUCUGGCUCUAAGCGUAGUAAUUCCUCUCGCUAUGGAGUCCUGGUGGAUGCUUGCCAUCAACCCCCAAUUUUUCUAUGGUUGACCUCGGAUCAGGUAGGGAUACCCGCUGAACUUAAGCAUAUCAAUAAGCGGAGGA